UUCGCCGCUGCGCUGCUCUAUCUCUCUCGCUCUGUCCAUUCCCCAUUCCCCAUCCCCCCGAUUGGCUAGGGUUUUCUCCGUCCAAUUUCUCUGGCGAUUUCCUGGUCAAUGGAGGACUGGAGGUAGUUCGGGGGUGAGAUUUGCUGUCCUCGGCGGUGGAUAGAGCGCGCCUGCGGGAGAGGGUCGUGCUCGUCGGUGGAGCCGUGGAGGUGCGAGCCUCCUGCGGGAGGAGUGACGUGCUCGUCGGUGAAGGGACGCCUUGUUGUGGUGUGGGAGCGAGCAGCGCGGUAGUGCGGGGCUUAACUCGAUGAGCAGGGCGCGCGUCGAAAGAAAUCGAGCCGCGCGGAAGUGCGGUGAGAUCUACGGCGCCGAGCAUGAAGCGCACCACAUGGCGCCGAUUUCGUCGGCGUCGGGCGAGCCUCGCAGGAUGCCUGGAUGCUUGGUGACGAACAAUCGUGAAAGAGAUGGCUACUUUGACUACGCGAGGUUAUCAUCAAGCUCAAAUUUCAGUUCUAUUUUGCGUGAUUUCUUUGUUGCACUUGCGGGAAUUAUGGCCAUGUUGGUGCUUAGGACGUGGGGGGUUCGCCUUGCUGUUCCGCCCCCUGCUGGAUGUAUGGUUAUAAAGCUUUUCUGUGUAUGGCUGACAAUAGUUAUAGAUCGCUAUAUGGUUAGUUCAUUGCUGAGAAUGGUGUCGGUACUACAGGCAUUGUGCUACAUGACCAUCUUAGCCAAAUAAUUGUAGCAGCUCGAAACAUUCUGUCUCAGCAGUGAUGAAGAAUCGGAAGCGCUUGCCUUCAUUGGACGAACUGUCCAAUAAUUUUUGAGUCUGGCUGUAUCUCUGAAGUCCAAAAUUUGCAACUGGAAUUUUUUUUCCUUAUCCCACCUAAGGAGCAUUUACUCAGAUUUUGCUUCCUUCCGCUGCUUUUCUUCAGAACUGGAAGUGUGCUGUUACUAGAAGAGCUCAAAAUUCUGCUGCUAAUGAGUAUACUGCCUGCGUGCGGCUGUUAGGUGUCGGAUCAAUCUGGAACAAUUUCUUCCCAGAUCGUGUAGCCAAAGCCUUGACUUUAGAUUGUAAGGGAACAUCUUAUGAUGUAUGAAUGAUGCUCUUUAUCCCUUGAUUUUUUUUUGGUUUGGGAUGGCUCAGUUUGGAUUUCAAAUUAGUCCCAGCCUUAUUUCUUGGGUAUUGUACCUGAGUUUCUGACAGAGUUUUGGUUUGUGCUGGCGACAAAUUAAUCCUGAAUAACUUAAAAUCAUGAAGAUCAGUGUGCAACUUAACAGAUUUUUUGGUUUGGGCUAGCGACAAAUUAAUUCCCAUUGUGCUUCUGACAGCACGAUUAUUAUACCUGAGUUUUUUGGUAGAUUUUUACCUUGAUUUUUUUGCAGUAUUGUAGGUUCCUUGGGAACUUGGACCUUCUUUUUUUACUAUGAUGCCAGCUUCAUAGUGAUGAAAUAUAAAGUGAUUCAUAGUGUACCGUAUGGCAGAGAGGAAUUUCCAUAGUGUACCAUAUAUGUUUGUUGGACUGGGAUGUUUGUUUGUUAAGCAUGACUAUGGUUACUUAAUUCAUCUUAGCUGUUCUCUGGCACCAUGUGUUUAGUUGGUCCAUAAGCUGGUUAAGUUUUACUCUAGCUCCAUGAUUUUAAGAUACACACUGAUUUUUAGUAAGUUGUUUUUGUCCAUGAAUUAUGCAUAAGUUGUCCAUUAUUCUUGUUUUAAAAUAAGUUGUCUUAUCAUUAUGAAUAAGUUGACUACAGGGGUAAUUAAGUUGGCUGGUGGUUCUUAUUUAAGUAGCUUUUUAAUUAUUUCUUGCCAUGAAUCAUGAAGUUGUCCUUUAUUAAUGUUUCAAAUAAGUUGUUUUAUCAUUAUGAUUAAGUUGAAUACCAGGAGUAAUUAAGUUGACUACCAGUAGUGAUUAAGUUGGAUGGUGGUUCAUGUUUAAGUUGCUUUUUGAUUUUCCAUGCCAUGAAUCAUCCCAAAAGUUGCCCAUUAUUCAUGUUUCAAAUAAGUUGUUAUAUCAUUAUGAUUGAGUUGUCUACAAGGAGUAAUUAAGUUGGCCAUCAGUUUUAUACAUGCCAUGAAUAAUGUGAUGUGUUGCCCAUUAUUCAUGUUUGAAAUAAGUUGUUAUGUCAUUAUGAUUAAGUUGUCUACCAGGAGUAAUUAAGUUUGCCAGCAGUUCUUGUUUAAGUUGCUUUUUGGUUUAUCCAUGCCAUGAAUCAUGCGAUGUGUUGCCAAUUAUUCAUGUUUCAAAUAAUUUGUUCUGUCAUUAUGAUUAAUUUUUCUACUAGGAGUAAUUAAGUUGGCCAGUAGUUCUGGGAGUGGUGUUUUGGCACAUGAGAGCAUAUGCUCCCUUUAUUUUGAAAUGUAUGUUACACAUGUUUUAAAAUUUCAAAAAAGUUGAAACGAAAACUUGGUACGUACAUAUUCACAUGUUACACGCUCACAAAGUCAUUUCAUGAAAAAUCGACUUGCCGUGUGGCUUGUGUAAAAAAGAAAAAAUUCAAUGCUUAAAAUAAGUCUUUUCGGAAGAUAAAUUUUCUCUUUUUACAUAGACCACAAAAAAUAUUGAUACCUCGCGAAACUUGACAAACACACGUAUAUUAUGGAGAUGUACAUGUAGAAUUUUUUGUCAAAAUUUUUCGACAGUUCGAAACAUAAUUUUUUGGUAUAGGGAGCAUAUGCACCCGGGAGCCGAAUUGAAUUUCCGAGUAGUUCUUGUUUAAGUUGUUUUUUUCUUAAAAUUUAUCCGUGUCAUGAAUCAUCCGAUGCGUUGCCCAUUAUUCAUGUGUCAAAUAAGUUGUUAUGUCAUUAUGAUUAAGUUGUCUACCAGGAGUAAUUAAGUUGGCCAACCGUUCUUGUUUGAGUUGCUUUUGUAUUUAUCCAUGCCAUAAAUCAUGCUACGCAUUGCCCAUUAUUCAUGUUUCAAAUAAACUGUUCUGUCAUUAUGAUUAACAUACCACGAGUAAUUAAGUUGGUCAGCUGUUAUUGUUUAAGUUGAUUUUUUCUUUAUCCAUGCCAUGAACCAUGCCAUGAGUUGGCCCAAUAACACUAGACCUACGGACUGAGUAGCCUACAAAAACUCUACGGAAUGACGUGCGGUGAAUUUUUUUCUUUUUGAGAUGGACGUGCGGUGAAUUGGUUGGCUGGGUUGUUUUUUCCUCCCUGGAAAAUCGGAGCACAUUCUAGUUUUCUACAUUGCCUACAGUGCCACGUCUGAUUCCGUAAGCAAAUUCUGUAAAACUUAUCCGUACGUGUAGUGUUACUCGAGUUGGCCGGUAUCUAUGUCCUAAAUAAGUUGUUUUGUCAUAUGACAAAGUUGUCCAGUCGGAGUAAUUAAGUUGGCUUCUGAAAAUGAUUAAGUUGGUUACAAGACCGUGCAUUUUUUGGCUUCCUAAAGUAAGUACCCUUGUUGUAAUACCAUGCUUAAGUUUGGUUUUGUACAAAAUAUCUAGUUUGUUCUGGAAACAAAAUAUGUCACCUCCCACUUUCUAUUAUUAAGCUUGACGAACAUUCUAGCUGGGCAUUUUGUUUGCUUGAUGCUUUCUCUCUUGCAUCUAACGCCAAACUUGCUAGAAGUAUUCUGGUUGCAUGGACCAGCUUCUUCGCCUUACUCAUUCUCAUCAUCAAGAUGAACAGGGGUAAUAUCUUCGGUAACAGUCAUUCUCUCUUGUUGCAAUUCUUCUUCCGUCUUCGGUGCACAAUACUUGUUACAGACAAACUGAUGUUUUGUAUGUGCUUUCCUUUUUGAUGUAUUAUUCUUGAUAAUGAACCCCACUUUGAGAGUGUACUUUUGAUAUCAUGCUUAAGUUGGUUUCUGAAAGUAAUUGAGGUGUUUUGAUAAUUAUACCUAAGUUGGCUCCUGAAAGUAAUCAAGUUGUUUUGAUACCAUGCUUAAGUUGGAUUCUGAGAUUUGUUUUCAUAAUUAUGCCUAAGUUAGCUUCUGAAAGUAAUCGAGUUGUUUUGAUACCAUGCUUAAGUUGACUUGUGAAAGUAAUUGAGUUGUUUUGAUGAUUAUACCAAGUUGGCUUCCGAAAGUAAUCAAGUUGUUUUGAUACCAUGCUUAAGUUGAUUUCUGAAAGUAAUUGAGUUGCUUUGAUAAUUAUGUCUAAGUUGAUGCUUCUUGGCUGUAAAGAAGUGUGUUCCUUUCCUGCUGUCCCAACUUUGUUACCAACUGUGGUUUCAACACAAGAUCUUAAUGUUGAACUGCUUCAUGGUCAUGCAGCACUAGGUCUUGAGAUUCACCUACAACUGCAUCAGGGAUAGCUUGAGUGCAAAAAUAGCGGCUCCACAUCGUUCAUAUCGACAACAUCUUCAAUAGGGGAACAUCCAAACCUGACAUCUGAUGAAUCACAAAUACAAACUAGUUUGCGGGAGGCGUGGCAGCAUGAUCAAGGAAGGUAAAAUGGUAUCCCUGCAACGACGCUACAGCAUUAUGCACGAAGAUAGAUAUGACAGAUGCAUAGUGUUCACAAAUUACUACUGGCCAAAACUCUACAGUCUUUUAGAGAACAUAUCUUCGAACUUGUAGCUUGGACAAUUGGGCUUUGUUUGCUUUGUCCAGACCGAGCCGAGGCUUGGUAGCUCUAUAGGACAGCUGGGGUAGUUGGUUCGUACGCGUAAUAAAGAGGGUAAGAAAUCAAGCGAUUUCCGCGCGCUGCCA